CAGCAGACUCCCCAUUGCCAUUGCCCUCCAUGUGCAGGGAGAAAGGGUCCUGCUGCUCGUGGCUUUGAAAGCUUUUCCAGUGUAUGAUCACCACGUGGGAUUCAGAGAUGGGCAAGCCCGAAGUAUCUAGAGGAGAGAGGAAUUGUCUUCCUCCUCUCCAGUUUGGUGAUGAAGGUGGAAUAAAACUUCACUGGCUGGACACUGCUUGCUCCUGGACUACUGCAACUAAGAGAUCCUGGAUCCCUGACAAGAGCUGGCAAGAGAAAUGCUUUAUAUUAAAUACCUGAUUGCUUGCUUAUACAACAUAGGCUUAGCUUUUGGAGCCCACCUGCAUCACCGCUUUUUGAAGUGAAUUUAGCUGAAGUCAUCUAUUAUCAGCACUAAGAGACCUGUUCAGUGACAUGGAAAAUCUACCAACUUAGAUUCUGGACUGUGAACCUUCUGAAAAAUGUCAAAGUUGGGACUGUAGGGGAAGAGGACUGGCCACCCCAAAAUGUAUGUAUUUGGCUUGAUUAGUUUUAGGAACAGAAGACUCUGAAAGAAACAGACCUUCCCUUUAAUUGCCUAAAAGAAUUUAAGAUAGAAGUACUGUUUCAGGAAGGAACUAAUACCAUAAGAUAACUAUAGUGUAAUUUAAACUAAGUGUGA